UACGGAGGGUGCAAGCGUUAUCCGGAUUUACUGGGUUUAAAGGGUGCGUAGGUGGGUCUGUAAGUCAGUGGUGAAAUCUCCGAGCUUAACUCGGAAACUGCCAUUGAUACUAUAGAUCUUGAAUUAUCUGGAGGUAAGCGGAAUAUGUCAUGUAGCGGUGAAAUGCUUAGAUAUGACAUAGAACACCAAUUGCGAAGGCAGCUUACUACGGAUCGAUUGACACUGAGGCACGAAAAGCGUGGGGAUCAAACAGG
rnacentral:rRNA from 1 species